rnacentral:snRNA from 1 species
ACACUUUGGCAGUAUAUAUACUAAAAUAGAAGGAUACAAAGAAGAUUAUUAGCAUGGCCCCUGCAUAAGGAUGACACCCAAAUUCAUGUUCCAUAUUUUU